UAAAGGUGGCGUACGGGUGAGUAACACGUGGAUAAUCUACCUCUUGGUGGGGAAUAACUUUGGGAAACCGAAGCUAAUACCGCAUAAGUCCGAAAGGAGAAAGGCGAAAGCCGCCGAGCAGAGGAGUCCGCGGCCGAUUAGCUAGUUGGUGAGGUAAAGGCUCACCAAGGCGAAGAUCGGUAGCCGGCCUGAGAGGGCACACGGCCACACUGGCACUGAAACACGGGCCAG
rnacentral:rRNA from 1 species